GAUCCAGCCAUGCCGCGUGUGUGAAGAAGGCCUUCGGGUUGUAAAGCACUUUCAGUGAGGAAGAAAGCCUUGAGGUUAAUACCCUCGAGGGAGGACAUCACUCACAGAAGAAGCACCGGCUAACUCCGUGCCAGCAGCCGCGGUAAUACGGAGGGUGCGAGCGUUAAUCGGAAUUACUGGGCGUAAAGCGCGCGUAGGCGGCUUGAUAAGCCGGUUGUGAAAGCCCCGGGCUCAACCUGGGAACGGCAUCCGGAACUGUCAGGCUAGAGUGCAGGAGAGGAAGGUAGAAUUCCCGGUGUAGCGGUGAAAUGCGUAGAGAUCGGGAGGAAUACCAGUGGCGAAGGCGGCCUUCUGGACUGACACUGACGCUGAGGUGCGAAAGCGUGGGUAGCAAACAGGAUUAGAUACCCUGGUAGUCCACGCCGUAAACGAUGUCGACUAGCCGUUGGGCUCCUUGAGAGCUUUGUGGCGCAGUUAACGCGAUAAGUCGACCGCCUGGGGAGUACGGCCGCAAGGUUAAAACUCAAAUGAAUUGACGGGGGCCCGCACAAGCGGUGGAGCAUGUGGUUUAAUUCGAUGCAACGCGAAGAACCUUACCUACCCUUGACAUCGAGAGAACUUUCCAGAGAUGGAUUGGUGCCUUCGGGAGCUCUCAGACAGGUGCUGCAUGGCUGUCGUCAGCUCGUGUUGUGAAAUGUUGGGUUAAGUCCCGUAACGAGCGCAACCCUUGUCCCUAUUUGCCAGCGAUUCGGUCGGGAACU
rnacentral:rRNA from 1 species